UGAUCGGAACGUAUAAAUCUGAUUUUCGAUCUGCAAAUCAAAUCAGUAUUUAAAUUAAUUUGAAUAAUCGAAGAUCUCUAGCUCGUUCUCGUGCUCGGGCUCGGUUUCAGGCUAAAUGGGUUGAAGGUACUGCCGGAGAUGUCGUCGGAGCUGUUGCCGUAGCCAUAGAGUCUGGUUAUUGGUGGAAUCUAAUUCCAUCCGGUGGUCGUCAAAGGAAUGUUAACACAAUGACGGAAAUCUUAACCAGGCAUACUCCUGUCUCUGAGAAAGAAGAAGUAUUGCGCCUUCAGAACAUUGCACUGCAGUUCGAGAAAGAGAUCUAUAAUAUCGCGACAAGUAUUGAGGAUUAUACGCAGAAAAUAUCUCUAAAGACGCGGACCUUGGAGGCGAAUUCUAAAUAUCGGAUCAAUUACUUCGAUCCUUAUGUAUCAAUGAAAGUCUAUGCUUUUUAUUUCGCAUUUUUCACUUGCAAUUCGAAAUUAAGAAAAAUGAUACUGUCAUUUUUCAUGUUCUGUUUGAUUCAUUUCAUUUUUCAAAUUUCUUAUGUGGCGGCGUACACAACAACAAGGAAGCUUAUGGAAAUUAAAUCUUGAACAUGAGUUUUGUUGGAAGUUAACUUCCCUGUAGGGAAUCUUCCUUUUUACUUGUCAUUUUAGUUCUUUCUAAAAUUCCGUUUUAUAUUGAAAUUUGAAACUAAGAGAUGACAAUGGAAGCUACUUCCUACAAAACUACUUCUGGGCCGGAGGAGAGUGACGAGGAGGAAACAUUUGAAGUACACGAUAGGGACGUGCCAAAGGAGGAUGUUGUAGAGGAGGUGGUGGUUACAGAGAAGCAAAACUACGUUAUUAGACACAACGAGAAUGAGAUCUCUUGUGGAUUGAGUUCUGGUGCUAAACUUGAUGAACGUCUAGCAUAAGUUGAGGAACGAUUAGAGAAAAUGGAAGCUCAAUCAGAAAACGUGGAGACAUUGUUGGUUGAUAUUAACGAAAAAUUGAACUAUUUAGUGAAGAUGCAGGAUGCCAAAGUUUCUAGAGACGUUAGACGUCCAGCUAAGUACAUGAGCUCCCCGUAGACUGGUUAUAGACGAUUUAAGAGGAAACAUAGAGUAGCUGAGAUGAUAAAGAAGUCGUGCAAGCAUGAACGCUUGGGAAGAGGUGAUUAGGCAGUACAUCGAGUUACUGACCAAAGGAAGCUGGGUGAAUAAUUAGUUAUACUUUUUUCCUUACUAUUAAGAUUGUUAUGAUUAUCACAAUCUUUAUUAGUUAUUAUAAAACACCAUGUGGCCAUUGUCAAUGUAUUACUUCCAUUUUAGUGUAAUCAUCAAAUAAUAAUCUGAGGUGAUGGAUGAAUUUGGGUUAAUUUUA